GACGAAUUAAGAAGCAAAAGGCUAACAAAAUCGGAACAGAAGAUAAUUGUGGAUAAAAUAGCAGCAGGAGUUUCAAAUAAGAGAAUUAUUCAGGAGGCCAGAAGCGUAGACGGCAAUAAACUACAAAGGAAAAAUUGUAUAACAAGAGGAGAUUUAGAGUACCUAAUACGAAAAUUUAAUAUUGACAAGAAAAGGGACAGUGAUGAUAUGAUAGCCACAGUGUUUAAAAUUCAGGAAUGUAACAGUGAUGGAAAAAAGCAUGAAUUUUUAUUUAAACAGAUAGGAGAAACUUAUCCAGGAUUAGAAGAAGAUGAUUUUGCAGUUGGAUAUAUCAAUGCUAUUAUGGAAAAAAAAUUAAGAGAUUUUCCAAAAAUAAUCUGUAUAGAUAGAACUCAUGGAACAAAUAGGAGAAACUGGGACCUGACAAUUGUGUUAAUAAGAGAUGAACAAAAUAUGGGUUUUCCAGGCACUUAAAACUAGAUUAGGGGAAGCAGUUCAAGCUGAAUAUAUAAUGAGUGAUGACGAUCCAAAAUAUUACAAUGCAUGGAUAAUGGCUAUGAAUGCAGAACAUAAACCAAGAAGAUUACUUUGUACCUGGCAUAUAGUGAAAAAUUGGAACAUACAAGGAAGGUCUAAAAUCAAGAAGUUGGAAAAUAGACAGAUAAUGAAACAUGAAAUGAGGAAAAUUUUAAAGGAGACUGAUCCACAAAAAUUUAUACAGCUGAAAGAGAACUAUUUUAGGCAAUUAGAAGAAGAGGAGGAAACUAAUUUUCAGAAUUACCUGAAAAAUUACUUCACUAAAAAAGUCAACACUAAAAAAUUAUAAAACAAAUGUAAUUAAUUCUUUAAUAUUUUAGGUACUAUUUCCAAAGUCAAGAGAGAAUAAUGAUGUGGGCACAUUGUUAUAGAAUCAAUGCCGGAAUUAAUACAAAUAUGGCAAUUGAAAGCUUAAAUAAAGUUCUGCAAAAAAAGUACUAAAGUACAACAAAAUGAAUGGAAAGCAGAAUAUUAGGAUUGAAAAACUGUUGGAUUUACUGGAUGAACUUGUUGAUGAAAGAAUGUGGAAAAGGAUUAUAAACAUGGAAAGGCCAAAUGCAAAUAAUUAUCAGCACAAAAUAUGUCAGAGUGCACAUAAAAAAGCAGAAGAAAUGGUGGGUAAUAACGGUAAUGUAUCAUAUUCUGAAUUAGGACAUUUUAAGGUAAGGUCGUUUAGUGAUUAUCAUAAAUUGUAUUGUGUAAAUUAUAAUGAGGUUUGUGAUGAGGACUCUAGGGUAAUGUAUUGUGAGAAGUGUAAAAUAUGUAAACAUAAAUAUAAUUGUGAUUGUCCGGAAUAUACUGUUAAAAGUGUCAUGUGUAAGCAUAUACAUGUGUAGCUUUAUUUGAGCAGAGGAGCGAAUAUGUUUCAGGUUUCAUGGAUGAAAUGCAAGAAGAUCUGUAUGUCAAUGAACCUUCAACAAGCAAGACAGUUUAUGAGGAUGAAGUAAAUCAUUUUCUUGACGAGACUGAAAAUAGAAUGAAUGUGACAAUUGAUUUUGAAAGAAAGCGUGAGAUUUGUCUAGAACAGUUUUGCUCUGAAAUUCGUAAUUAUGGUGGUGGAUUGGGUGAACAUGAUUUAGAAAAAUUUAUGGGUGAUUUUAGAAAUUUUAUGCAGACAGUAAAACAAAAAGAAAUGGUGAUGAGUAAAAAAAGAAAAAUAGAAAAGCAGCAGUAUUAUCUCAACAAAAAACCUAAAUAAAUUUAUUUAUAAUAAAAUGUUUAUAACUAUUUCAUUACUGAAUGACAUUGCUUUUGUGAGUGACCUAUUCUGGUAUUAUAUCUAAGUGGUGUUGGCUAUUUGUAUUCAUGUAAUUCGUUGGCUUAUGGUGAAGGAUACUUAUAAAAUAUAUUUUUUUAAUUUUAA